UGGGGAAUAUUGCGCAAUGGGCGAAAGCCUGACGCAGCGACGCCGCGUGAGGGAUGAAUGCCUUCGGGUUGUAAACCUCUUUCAGCAGGGAUGAAGCGCAAGUGACAGUACCUGCAGAAGAAGCACCGGCUAACUACGUGCCAGCAGCCGCGGUAAUACGUAGGGUGCAAGCGUUGUCCGGAAUUAUUGGGCGUAAAGAGCUCGUAGGCGGUUUGUCACGUCGGAUGUGAAAUUCCAGGGCUCAACCCUGGACCUGCAUUCGAUACGGGCAGACUAGAAUUCGGUAGGGGAGUCUGGAAUUCCUGGUGUAGCGGUGAAAUGCGCAGAUAUCAGGAGGAACACCGGUGGCGAAGGCGGGACUCUGGGCCGAUAUUGACGCUGAGGAGCGAAAGCGUGGGGAGCGAACAGG
rnacentral:rRNA from 2 species